UACAGAGGUGGCAAGCGUUGUUCGGAAUUACUGGGCGUAAAGGGCGCGUAGGCGGCCUCGCAAGUCCCGUGUGAAAUCCCUCGGCUCAACUGAGGAAUGGCACGGGAAACUGCGGGGCUUGAGUUCGGGAGAGGGAAGCGGAAUUCCGGGUGUAGCGGUGAAAUGCGUAGAUAUCCGGAGGAACACCGGUGGCGAAGGCGGCUUCCUGGACCGAUACUGACGCUGAGGUGCGAAAGCGUGGGGAGCGAACGGG
rnacentral:rRNA from 1 species